rnacentral:rRNA from 1 species
CAGUAGCCGCGGUAAUACGUAGGUCCCGAGCGUUGUCCGGAUUUAUUGGGCGUAAAGCGAGCGCAGGCGGUUAGAUAAGUCUGAAGUUAAAGGCUGUGGCUUAACCAUAGUACGCUUUGGAAACUGUUUAACUUGAGUGCAAGAGGGGAGAGUGGAAUUCCAUGUGUAGCGGUGAAAUGCGUAGAUAUAUGGAGGAACACCGGUGACGAAAGCGGCUCUCUGGCUUGUAACUGACGCUGAGGCUCGAAAGCGUGGGGAGCAAACAGGAUUAGAUACCCGAGUAGUCCCUGUCUCUUAUACC